GAUGAACGCUAGCUACAGGCUUAACACAUGCAAGUCGAGGGGUAACGAGAGGAAAGCUUGCUUUCCUUGUCGACGACCGGCGCACGGGUGAGUAACGCGUAUCCAACCUGCCCCCAACUAGGGAAUAACCUUGCGAAAGUAAGACUAAUACCCCAUAAUUUCCUCAGAUGUCAUCUGACGAUGAAUAAAGAUUUAUCGGUUGUGGAUGGGGAGUCGUCUGAUUAGCUUGUUGGCGGGGUAACGGCCCACCAAGGCAACGAUCAGUAGGGGUUCUGAGAGGAAGGUCCCCCACAUUGGAACUGAGACACGGUCCAAACUCCUACGGGAGGCAGCAGUGAGGAAUAUUGGUCAAUGGGCGGAAGCCUGAACCAGCCAAGUAGCGUGCAGGAUGACGGCCCUAUGGGUUGUAAACUGCUUUUAUACAGGAAAAAAGUUAGCCACGUGUGGUUAUUUGUAGGUACUGUAUGAAUAAGGACCGGCUAAUUCCGUGCCAGCCGCCGCCGUAA
rnacentral:rRNA from 1 species